UCCUCAGGUAUAAUACAUAUAUUAAUAUGAUCACUGUGGGGGAUCCUCAGAUGAUGGUUCCCAAGCCAACCUGACCUAACCUGUCUCUCCAGGCCUCUGGAAUACAGAUAUACCAGGUUUUCACAUUAGACUUAGGGGGAGGAGGGCCAGGCAAGAGAAAAGAGGGCUUCUCAUAGGCUAGUAGGAGAAGAUAACCCCCACCUUGACCUCUGGUCUUACUUUAUUUUGCAGUCUUUCUCUAAAACCCACCCAUCUCAGCCUUCGAAUUCUGACACAAGUGCAUGUUUGGAGAAUAUGCUCGGGGAUGGGGGCUCAAGGGUUCCUCACACUUCUGCCUGUCUACACUGUUCAUAGAUCCAGUCUUCAACACACCAGCAUUAUGGUUCUGCCCUUUUCUGGAACUUUUCCUUUACCGGUCCCCAUCUCUCCUUUACUUUUCUCUAGGACUGGGGAGAUAGCUCAGUGGUUAAGAACACUGACUGCUCUUCAAAAGGACCCCAGUUCAAUCCCCAGUACCCAUAUGGUGGAUCACAACUAUCUGUCACUCUAGUUCCAGGAGAUGCAAUUCCCUCUUCUGGCCUCUGUAAUCAAAACACCCAUACACAUAAAUUAAAAAUAAAUAAACCUUAAGAAAAAAAAUCAAACA
rnacentral:lncRNA from 1 species